CAAAUGUUUGGUGCUCCCACUCUGUCACAGCUCACAGAUGCGUUUCUACGAUCCAUUACAAAUUCCGAACGGUAACGAAGGUUAACCGCAAAGGCGGUUUAAGGGUUUGCUUUAGAUUCUCUGGCAUCAAGUGGAGCUUCAGACCAUGUCUCUCGCCUGUUCCAGGGCUGGAGAGACGGCUCAUGAAGAGCACUUUUCCACGGGCUCCAGGCACACAUGUGGUGCACAGACACUCGUGCACGCCAGGCACUCAACAGAAUGUUUGUUGCGCAUAACAAGUACACAGAACCUGCAGCUAAAAACAAGCAAGAAACGCUUCUCCCACCAAGGAAUUCUAAACAGUCGGAUGAUGAAGGCAGUGGACCCAAACAAUCACUUCGUUGAAAUGGCGGCAUCCACGGCCUCUGGGAAUAAAACUCUAAUUUAGCAGCACGUAUAAAGAAGGCCAGUGCCGAGAGGAAAGUCACGUUUACUUCAGUGUCCACGGGGACAUGAUAAGUGCCAGAAAAAACAAAAAAACAGAAACCAUAUUUUCAUGACCAAGCAUCUGUGAUAAACAUCCAAAAGUCUAAGGUGCCUUUCGUCUCGGCAGGGAGGAGGCAGCAGAGACAAGUGACUGAAUCUCUGGGAGUUCCAGGACAGCUAGGGGUCUGUGGUGAGACCCUGUCUUAAAGAUGAUAAAAAUGAAAAACAAGCAUUUAAAACAAAAGUUAAAAUUAUUUCUGGGAUUUUAACUCUAAUGCAGGUUUUCUUCAUUAAAAG
rnacentral:lncRNA from 1 species